rnacentral:rRNA from 1 species
ACGAACGCUGGCGGCAGGCUUCACCCAUGCCGGUCGAACGCCCCGCAAGGGGAGUGGCCGACGGGUGAGUAACGCGUGGGAACAUACCCUUUCCUGCGGAAUAGCUCCGGGAAACUGGAAUUAAUACCGCAUACGCCCUACGGGGGAAAGAUUUAUCGGGGAAGGAUUGGCCCGCGUUGGAUUAGCUAGUUGGUGGGGUAAAGGCCUACCAAGGCGACGAUCCAUAGCUGGUCUGAGAGGAUGAUCAGCCACAUUGGGACUGAGACACGGCCCAAACUCCUACGGGAGGCAGCAGUGGGGAAUAUUGGACAAUGGGCGCAAGCCUGAUCCAGCCAUGCCGCGUGAGUGAUGAAGGCCUUAGGGUUGUAAAGCUCUUUCACCGAUGAAGAUAAUGACGGUAGUCGGAGAAGAAGCCCCGGCUAACUUCGUG